GGUUCUAGAAGUGUUGAGAGAUGGGGCAUGAUUAGAAGAGAGAGUUCACUGAGACUCAGACUUUGAAGGUUCUCUGUAGUCUCCAGUUCCAUCAUGGCUCUGAUUCCGCUUCAUUUCGAGCGCACAGAAGUCUGAGACUGGAGCCACAGAGCGAACUAGCUGGAUCUGUGAGCUCUGGAUCGACUGAGAGACCCUGUCUCUGGCCUGGAGAUGGCUCAGUGGGUCGUGACACUCACUGCCAGAGUUUGACCCAGGAACCCACAUGGAAGGGAGACUUUGCUUCGGGCUCUCAGCAUCCAGGCCCAUCUGUUGCACAGGGGCUGCUACUCAAGUAGUCCGGAGAGACAAGCGGGGAGGACCAGCCGAGGCCGCCCGGAGAGACAAGCGGGGAGGAGCAGCCGAGGCCGCCCGGAGAGAGACAAGCGGGGAGGACCAGCCGAGGCCACCGAUGGAUGAGAAGCGAGAACAAGUGGGACACUUGUGCGACUGAGCACCCUCAUCUGCUGCAGUUGGAUAGUUGGACUAUUCUUGCCCCUCAUUCAGAAACACACAACACUGAUUCCAGCCCUGAAAAAUGAAAAGACGUGUAGGAGGUAACCAUAGAGAUGGAAAUUUUUAAAAAAGCACAGAGAAGUCAAGGUAAGAAGAAUAGCAGGUGUGGAGGAAGAAAAUGAAACAAAAUAGAUGCUUCGAAGCUCUGUGAACUUAACCCUCAGCUACUGGCAUUCAUGCCUGUGCCAAUCCACCCAUGUAAUUCAGUUUUAAACCGUUCUGAAUCUAGUUAAUACAAAGUUUACAGAGGAAGAGAAAAAUAUUAGCAAUAUUUCAAAAUGACUGGUCUACAGACACUCACAGAGAAGGGGUUGCAUUGGCUGGAAUAUGAGGCUGAAAAGGAGAAGCCAGGACAAUUUCAGUUCCUAUGCAAUGGAGCACCAGCAAAGCUCAGAGACCAUUGUAUGGCUUCCUUUAGAAAUAAGUAUUAGGGCUGGGAACACUGCUCAGUGGUAGAGUACCUGCCUAGAAUCCCCCAGUGAGGGGCUGGGGUGUGGCUCAGUGGUAGAGCACCUGCCUAGAAUCCCCCAGUGAGGGGCUGGGGUGUGGCUCAGUGGUAGAGCACCUGCCUAGAAUCCCCCAGUGAGGGGCUGGGGUGUGACUCAGGGGUAGAGUGCUUGUCAGCCAUUCAUAAAAGCCUGAGUUCAUUCUCAGCAUUACCAAAAUGACAAAAGACUUAGUGAGCCAAACCAGGCUGAGAAGAAUGCCAAAGACAGACUCCAUCUCUGUGGUUUCUGAUAGGGAGCCAUACUCAAGGAAGGUGUGAAACGACCAAGGCAGGAAAUAUUAGGAAUUCCACUUGUACUGACUUCAGUUGAACAUAUUUAUCUGUAUACAGAAAGAGGAUAAGGAUAAAUAAUUAUCAUAUGACAAAAACCUGGAGAUGACUGCUGGGUUAUGGAAAGCAGGUUUGGUGACACAUCUGUAAUCCCAGCACUGGGGAGGUGGAGAUCCGGGACAGUGAGGCCAACCCAGGUCCUCUGCAAGAACAGCAAGUGCUCUUAGUUACUGAGCUGUCUCUACAGCCCUGAGCCAAACUGUCUUGAACUACGUAUAUGCUCCAGUCACGGAGGCUGUGUUGUAAGAACCACAUCCCGCCCCCCAUUUCUAUGUGUUUUAUUCCAUUGUAAUAAUGAUUAUCAUGAAUGGUUUCACAGA